rnacentral:rRNA from 1 species
GUGUGACUACGGGACGCAGCAGUGAGGAAUAUUGGUCAAUGGGCGGGAGCCUGAACCAGCCAAGUCGCGUGAGGGAAGACGGUCCUAUGGAUUAUAAACCUCUUUAGGCGGGGAGCAAUGCCGGGCACGUGUGCCCGGAGGGAGAGUACCCGCAGAAUAAGCAUCGGCUAAAUCCGUGCCAGCAGCCGCGGCAAUACGGAGGAUGCGAGCGUUAUCCGGAUUUAUUGGGUUUAAAGGGUGCGUAGGCGGAUUUUUAAGUCAGCGGUACAAUGUCCGGGCUCAACCGG